rnacentral:siRNA from 1 species
CGAAUAGAAGAGUAGAUGGUCACU